rnacentral:rRNA from 1 species
GUGCCAGCCGCCGCGGUAAUACGAAGGGUGCAAGCGUUACUCGGAAUUACUGGGCGUAAAGCGUGCGUAGGUGGUUGUUUAAGUCUGCUGUGAAAGCCCUGGGCUCAACCUGGGAAUUGCAGUGGAUACUGGGCGACUAGAGUGUGGUAGAGGACAGUGGAAUUUCCGGUGUAGCAGUGAAAUGCGUAGAGAUCGGAGGGAACAUCUGUGGCGAAGGCGACUGUCUGGGCCAACACUGACACUGAGGCACGAAAGCGUGGGGAGCGAACAGGAUUAGAUACCCGUGUAGUCC